rnacentral:rRNA from 1 species
CAUGUGUGUUAGUGGAAGCGUCUGGAAAGGCGCGCGAUACAGGGUGACAGCCCCGUACACAAAAGCGUAUGUGCUGUGAGCUCGAUGAGUAGGGCGGGACACGUGGUAUCCUGUCUGAAUAUGGGGGGACCAUCCUCCAAGGCUAAAUACUCCUGACUGACCGAUAGUGAACCAGUACCGUGAGGGAAAGGCGAAAAGAACCCCGGCGAGGGGAGUGAAAAAGAACCUGAAACCGUGUACGUACAAGCAGUGGGAGCCCCACCACUAAGCCAGUGGUGAACUCCACAUACGCAUCCUUUGCUGAGGAUACGGUUAACGGAGCGAAAGCGACGUUCAACCGCAAAAGAAGCAGAGGGGGCUUAGUGGUGGGGUGACUGCGUACCUUUUGUAUAAUGGGUCAGCGACUUAUAUUCUGUAGCAAGGUUAACCGAAUAGGGGAGCCGGAGGGAAACCGAGUCUUAACCGGGCGUUAAGUUGCAGGGUAUAGACCCGAAACCCGGUGAUCUAGCCAUGGGCAGGUUGAAGGUUGGGUAACACUAACUGGAGGACCGAACCGACUAAUGUUGAAAAAUUAGCGGAUGACCUGUGGCUGGGGGUGAAAGGCCAAUCAAACCGGGAGAUAGCUGGUUCUCCCCGAAAGCUAUUUAGGUAGCGCCUCGUGAAUUCAUCUCCGGGGGUAGAGCACUGUUUCGGCUAGGGGGCCAUCCCGGCUUACCAACCCGAUGCAAACUGCGAAUACCGGAGAAUGUUAUCACGGGAGACACACGGCGGGUGCUAACGUCCGUCGUGAAGAGGGAAACAACCCAGACCGCCAGCUAAGGUCCCAAAGUCAUGGUUAAGUGGGAAACGAUGUGGGAAGGCCCAGACAGCCAGGAUGUUGGCUUAGAAGCAGCCAUCAUUUAAAGAAAGCGUAAUAGCUCACUGGUCGAGUCGGCCUGCGCGGAAGAUGUAACGGGGCUAAACCAU